CCCUGGUUUAGACUUUUAUGAAACAUCUCCAGACUCCAGAAAUUUAAAAAAUCUCAGGAACAGAAAAAAGGGCAAACGAGAAGAAGAGGAAGAAGAAGUGUCUCUGGGGCUUCGGUUAUCGCCAGCAUCAAUUAUCAAAUCGUUCAGCUCUUCUAAAUUGCGCCACUUUCUCGGUCUCUGUAAUUCUUCGGCGUUGUCUCCGUUUCCUUGAAGUGAUAUUCCGUCGCCGACGAUUUGUUCAGAUUAUGGCUGUCCGUUUCAAGUUCAGGAGCUCCGUCGACUUCGAUUCCAUACACAUAGGCGGUCGUCCGUCCAUCUCCGUUCGAGACCUAAGGUCCAAGAUUUUGCAACAGAAGAAUUUGAAGAUCUGCCAAGAUUUCGAUCUGGUCAUAUCAGACGCCGACACUGGGGAAGAGUACGAUGACGAAGAUUUUCUCAUACCAAGUGGUUCGAGUGUAGUUAUUAAGCGAGUGCCUGCCGGAAGAUCGGUGCAUUCAGUUUUGCCUUGCAUUAAUUCAGUUGAGAAUUGGGUGGCCAAAUCUACAAAUUUUAUUGGUAAUGCUGGAACUUCUCCUCCUAUGAAUGUUGAUGUGGACAAUUUUGAUGACUUUGGAAUUGAUUUGUAUUCCGCUCCUGACGAAGCUUUGGACUCGGAUCUUGAUGUUGAUAAAAUAAAUUGCAUCAGUAGCGAAAAGGGAGCUAAUGCUUUCCAAAGAAACUCGGAGCCAUCCACAGCAAGAUGUCAAAACAUUGUACCUGUUGACAUCAGUGAGGCUAUUCCUAUUGGGUCACAGAUGAACCUAAAGCAUAAAAUGGAAGAACCUAAGAAGCUUGAUGAAGCUGUAAAGACCAAUUCUCCUGCAUUAAUGAAUGCUGAUUUGCCGUUGGAGCUGAGAUGUUCUCUUUGCAACACCAUAUUCAAGGAGGCUGUGAUGAUUCGAUGUUGCCAGCAUAGUUUUUGUGAAAAAUGUAUUCGUCUGGCGUUGAUUGAGAAGGCAAGGUGCCCAAAGUGUUCUUCCACCAGAUGUGGAGUAGAAGAUUUGUUGCCAAAUGUGUCUCUUAGGCAGGCAAUUGAUCAUUUUCUUGAGUCUCAAGUGCUUCUCAGUGGUUCAGACAAUAUUCUUCCUCAAUAUGCCCCUGAUGGAGAAUCUGGAAUCCAAGGGAGGGAAUUUUCUUGUGCUAUGUCUAUAUGCCAAAGAGAACCAGUUUUUCCGCAUUCACCGUCUGCAACAGGGAAAGGAUCAAAUAUAGUGAUGGCAGAAUCUGCAUCUGAGUCAGUCAUCAGGACCAAUGCGUCUGCUGUUGCAUCUGGUUCUCGACUUAUCAAUUUAGGUGCUAGUAAAUCCGUGAAAUCAGCUUCACUGCAAAAGCUAAAACAGGUGAAUGGAGAAAACGGUGCACAACCUGGUUGUGCUGUAAGUUUUGAAUGUGGACCACAAGGCAUGAAGUCUGUUGCUGAUUUUCAAGGGGAAAACCAGCCCUUCAAAUUGUGGCAAACUCUUAGGGAGAAGGAAGCAGCUGGUGCCAUAAGCAUGAAAGAAAAGAAAUUUUGGGUUAAUUCUGCAGAUGGGAUUGGAAGUUUUAUGGCUACAAGCAGACACAGAAAGGGGGACCGUACCUGUUACAUGUGUGGUUCUCCUGAUCAUUUUAUACGGAACUGCCCCGCUGCUUCUAGUCCACAUCCUAUGCUUCAGACAGGGGAUGCUGGGUUCCCAGGAGGCAUGUCAACUUAUGGACCAUCUUACUGGCAGGGGUCUUCGUUGUCCCCCCAUAUUAGGCCCUUUGCAAACAUAUAUGGCAAUGCAGGGAUGAUGCCCUUUGAUCCAACCAUGGUCCCUGUAACACCUUUUGCAAUUUCUUCUUAUAUGCCAUCCAUGUAUUCCGGGUUGGCAGUCCCCUAUGGACCUAUGAGGAUGGUUGGGCUGGUGCCCCCAGUCAUGCCUGGGGCAGAGCGUGCUUUGAGCCAUUCAGAAUUUAUGGAGCUUCAGGAUUGUGAACAGAGACAAAAACUUAAGCAGCAGCAAAGCAGAGACUGUUCGCAUGAUGGUGAUGAUCACUACCUGUACAAUAGACCAGAAAGAUCACUCGACUGCAAACAGCAAAUAGACAGGGAGCACGAUGGGAACUUCUCUGUGGAUAAUUUAACUCGAAGAUCGAAACAGAAACGACCUGGUGAUAAAUGUCCAGAAGAAGUCGUCCAUGCACUUGUUCGGAGAGAUGAUUUGGUUCACCGUUCUUCUGGAAGAGACCACAAGCCACACUACUCAGAUAGAUCAAGUUCGGAAAUACAGGAUAGCUCUGAUAGCUCCAACUGGCAUAGAAAAAGGAGACACAAACACCAUAAAAGAAGUUCGAAGCAGCAUACUGAAAGAAGGGGAGAAUGUGAGACCAAUCCCAGUCACAGGAAUCACCAUGGAAGCCAAAAAGAAAUAGACAGACAGAGGAAUGUGACUGAUGCCAAAAGAUACAAGCAUAAAAAUCAUAGCCGCUCAGAGUCGGGUUUGGAACCAAGUUCAUCUGGGGACUGGAAAAGACACCGAAGUGAGAAAGAAUGCAGUCACAGUUCCAGGCAUUCCAGUCGCAAGUUGAAGCCAGCGGAAGAUCAAUUGAGUCAUGACAGAUGGGAAAUGGUCGAAGGGUUGGAUGAGGGCUAUAGGGAAGACAGUCAUCAUCACCAUAAACGCAAGAGAAUCCAUUGAAGCAUAGAAAACUGGUGUUCUACCAUGUGGAUAUACUUGGAAUUAUAGCAGCAGGGUGUACCAAACUGCUGAAGUUGCAGAGACAGCUACAGCAAACAUGGCUUAUGAGAUCUUGUACAGUGGUCGGCAUUUGGACAGUGAUAUUUUGUUGAUUUCUGCCAUUCUAACCUUUUUUCUGUUAAGGAUAGGAAGACUGUUUUACCUGGGAGCAUGGCACAGGAAUGGGAUGGAUUUUAGCUUUGGAUCAGUUUGUGAGAUUUCUGUAGCCAGUGAGGUAUGUUUUCCGCUACCAUACUCAACCAAAUGCUUUAUAGUUAUGAUCACGACUCCCCUCAAGUAAAUGAGCCCAACCAUAUACUCUCUGCUUGGACUGGUAAGAAAAUGGUUCGAAGUGAUGGAAAAUAAUGUGAAAAAGGAGAUUCUCCUUGAGAGAGAUGCGUUUUACAGAAAUAGGUGGAAAACCAUUUUGAGAAAUCAAAACUGUCCCCUAAUAUUUUGUACAACUCUACACUCAUCUGUCCAGAGAAAACCUUUGUCACAUUUUACUGCA